rnacentral:rRNA from 1 species
AUUGAACGCUGGCGGCAGGCCUAACACAUGCAAGUCGAGCGGAGCGGCGGACGGGAGAGUAAUGUAUGGGGAUCUGCCCGAUAGGGGGGGAUAACUACUGGAAACGGGGGCUAACACCGCAUACUAUCGGAUGACCCUAUAUGGGAUUAGCUAGUAGGUGGGGAAAAGGCUCACCUAGGCGACGCUCUAUAGCUGGUCUGAGAGGAUGAUCAGUAACACUGGAACUGAGACACGGUCCAGACUCCUACGGGAGGCAGCAGUUGGGAAUAUUGCACAAUGGGCGAAAGCCUGAUCCAGCCAUGCCGCGUGUUUGAAGAAGGUCUUCGGGUUGUAAAGCACUUUAAGUUGGGAGGCGUUACCAACAGAAUAAGCACCGGCUAACUUCGUGCCAGCAGCCGCGGUAAUUC